rnacentral:rRNA from 1 species
UACGGAGGGGGCUAGCGUUGUUCGGAAUUACUGGGCGUAAAGCGCACGUAGGCGGUUUUUUAAGUCAGAGGUGAAAGCCCGGGGCUCAACUCCGGAAUUGCCUUUGAAACUGGAAGACUUGAACACGGGAGAGGUGAGUGGAAUUCCGAGUGUAGAGGUGAAAUUCGUAGAUAUUCGGAGGAACACCAGUGGCGAAGGCGGCUCACUGGACCGUUGUUGACGCUGAGGUGCGAAAGCGUGGGGAGCAAACAGG